rnacentral:rRNA from 1 species
ACGGAGGAUCCGAGCGUUAUCCGGAUUUAUUGGGCUUAAAGGGCGCGUAGGCGGGAAGUUAAGUCGGCGGUGAAAUUGUGUAGCUUAACCGUAACAUGCGGUUGAAACUGGGUGACUUGAGUGUUGGAGAGGUAAGUGGAAUUUCCAGUGUAGCGGUGGAAUGCGUAGAUAUCGGGAAGAACACCGAUUGCGCAGGCAACUUGCUAGACCGCAACUGACGCUGAGGCGCGAAAGCCUGGGGAGCAAACGG